AUGAUGCCAACCAGGCCUACUUCCUCAAGCUCGUCGUCGUGCUCGGCAUCAUCGUCGCCGUCCUCUCCAUCCUCAUGCUCCCCGCCGACGUCGCCAACCGCCAGGCCUGCAAGCACGCCGCCUACAACGGGGCCUGCGCCCUUAUCCUGCCCAUGCUUGAUCCUGCCCAUGAACACGCUCUGGCUCGUCGUCUACAUCCUCGACGCUGUCCUCGUCUUCCUCGUCAUCCUGUUCGCCAUGUUCUAA
rnacentral:rRNA from 1 species